rnacentral:rRNA from 1 species
AUUGAACGCUGGCGGCAGGCCUAACACAUGCAAGUCGAGCGAGCGGCGGACGGGUGAGUAAUGGCUGGGAAACUGCCUGAGGGAGGGGGAGAACUACUGGAAACGGUAGCUAAUACUGCAUACCAACAGAUGUGCCCAGGUGGGAUUAGCUAGUGGGGGGGGUAACGGCUCACCAAGGCGACGAUCCCUAGCUGGUCUGAGAGGAUGACCAGCCACACUGGAACUGAGACACGGUCCAGACUCCUACGGGAGGCAGCAGUGGGGAAUAUUGCACAAUGGGCGCAAGCCUGAUGCAGCCAUGCCGCGUGUGUGAAGAAGGCCUUCGGGUUGUAAAGCACUUUCAGCGGGGAGGCGUUACCCGCAGAAGAAGCACCGGCUAACUCCGUGCCAGCAGCCGCGGUAAUAC